GAUUAAGUUAUUAAGGGCGCACGGUGGAUGCCUUGGCACUAGAAGCCGAUGAAGGACGUUACUAACGACGAUAUGCUUUGGGGAGCUGUAAGUAAGCUUUGAUCCAGAGAUUUCCGAAUGGGGAAACCCAGCAUGAGUUAUGUCAUGUUAUCGAUAUGUGAAUACAUAGCAUAUCAGAAGGCACACCCGGAGAACUGAAACAUCUUAGUACCCGGAGGAAGAGAAAGAAAAUUCGAUUCCCUUAGUAGCGGCGAGCGAAACGGGAAGAGCCCAAACCAACAAGCUUGCUUGUUGGGGUUGUAGGACACUCUAUACGGAGUUACAAAGGACGACAUUAGACGAAUCAUCUGGAAAGAUGAAUCAAAGAAGGUAAUAAUCCUGUAGUCGAAAAUGUUGUCUCUCUUGAGUGGAUCCUGAGUACGACGGAGCACGUGAAAUUCCGUCGGAAUCUGGGAGGACCAUCUCCUAAGGCUAAAUACUCUCUAGUGACCGAUAGUGAACCAGUACCGUGAGGGAAAGGUGAAAAGCACCCCGGAAGGGGAGUGAAAUAGAACCUGAAACCGUGUGCUUACAAGUAGUCAGAGCCUGUUAAUGGGUGAUGGCGUGCCUUUUGUAGAAUGAACCGGCGAGUUACGAUUUGAUGCAAGGUUAAGCAGUAAAUGUGGAGCCGUAGCGAAAGCGAGUCUGAAUAGGGCGUUUAGUAUUUGGUCGUAGACCCGAAACCAGGUGAUCUACCCUUGGUCAGGUUGAAGUUCAGGUAACACUGAAUGGAGGACCGAACCGACUUACGUUGAAAAGUGAGCGGAUGAACUGAGGGUAGCGGAGAAAUUCCAAUCGAACCUGGAGAUAGCUGGUUCUCUCCGAAAUAGCUUUAGGGCUAGCCUCAAGUGAUGAUUAUUGGAGGUAGAGCACUGUUUGGACGAGGGGCCCCUCUCGGGUUACCGAAUUCAGACAAACUCCGAAUGCCAAUUAAUUUAACUUGGGAGUCAGAACAUGGGUGAUAAGGUCCGUGUUCGAAAGGGAAACAGCCCAGACCACCAGCUAAGGUCCCAAAAUAUAUGUUAAGUGGAAAAGGAUGUGGCGUUGCCCAGACAACUAGGAUGUUGGCUUAGAAGCAGCCAUCAUUUAAAGAGUGCGUAAUAGCUCACUAGUCGAGUGACACUGCGCCGAAAAUGUACCGGGGCUAAACAUAUUACCGAAGCUGUGGAUUGUCCUUUGGACAAUGGUAGGAGAGCGUUCUAAGGGCGUUGAAGCAUGAUCGUAAGGACAUGUGGAGCGCUUAGAAGUGAGAAUGCCGGUGUGAGUAGCGAAAGACGGGUGAGAAUCCCGUCCACCGAUUGACUAAGGUUUCCAGAGGAAGGCUCGUCCGCUCUGGGUUAGUCGGGUCCUAAGCUGAGGCCGACAGGCGUAGGCGAUGGAUAACAGGUUGAUAUUCCUGUACCACCUAUAAUCGUUUUAAUCGAUGGGGGGGACGCAGUAGGAUAGGCGAAGCGUGCGAUUGGAUUGCACGUCUAAGCAGUAAGGCUGAGUAUUAGGCAAAUCCGGUACUCAUUAAGGCUGAGCUGUGAUGGGGAGAAGACAUUGUGUCUUCGAGUCGUUGAUUUCACACUGCCGAGAAAAGCCUCUAGAUAGAAAAUAGGUGCCCGUACCGCAAACCGACACAGGUAGUCAAGAUGAGAAUUCUAAGGUGAGCGAGCGAACUCUCGUUAAGGAACUCGGCAAAAUGACCCCGUAACUUCGGGAGAAGGGGUGCUCUUUAGGGUUAACGCCCAGAAGAGCCGCAGUGAAUAGGCCCAAGCGACUGUUUAUCAAAAACACAGGUCUCUGCUAAACCGUAAGGUGAUGUAUAGGGGCUGACGCCUGCCCGGUGCUGGAAGGUUAAGAGGAGUGGUUAGCUUCUGCGAAGCUACGAAUCGAAGCCCCAGUAAACGGCGGCCGUAACUAUAACGGUCCUAAGGUAGCGAAAUUCCUUGUCGGGUAAGUUCCGACCCGCACGAAAGGCGUAACGAUUUGGGCACUGUCUCAACGAGAGACUCGGUGAAAUCAUAGUACCUGUGAAGAUGCAGGUUACCCGCGACAGGACGGAAAGACCCCGUGGAGCUUUACUGUAGCCUGAUAUUGAAAUUCGGCACAGCUUGUACAGGAUAGGUAGGAGCCUUUGAAACGUGAGCGCUAGCUUACGUGGAGGCGCUGGUGGGAUACUACCCUAGCUGUGUUGGCUUUCUAACCCGCACCACUUAUCGUGGUGGGAGACAGUGUCAGGCGGGCAGUUUGACUGGGGCGGUCGCCUCCUAAAAGGUAACGGAGGCGCUCAAAGGUUCCCUCAGAAUGGUUGGAAAUCAUUCAUAGAGUGUAAAGGCAUAAGGGAGCUUGACUGCGAGACCUACAAGUCGAGCAGGGUCGAAAGACGGACUUAGUGAUCCGGUGGUUCCGCAUGGAAGGGCCAUCGCUCAACGGAUAAAAGCUACCCCGGGGAUAACAGGCUUAUCUCCCCCAAGAGUUCACAUCGACGGGGAGGUUUGGCACCUCGAUGUCGGCUCAUCGCAUCCUGGGGCUGUAGUCGGUCCCAAGGGUUGGGCUGUUCGCCCAUUAAAGCGGUACGCGAGCUGGGUUCAGAACGUCGUGAGACAGUUCGGUCCCUAUCCGUCGUGGGCGUAGGAAAUUUGAGAGGAGCUGUCCUUAGUACGAGAGGACCGGGAUGGACAUACCUCUGGUGUACCAGUUGUCGUGCCAACGGCAUAGCUGGGUAGCUAUGUGUGGACGGGAUAAGUGCUGAAAGCAUCUAAGCAUGAAGCCCCCCUCAAGAUGAGAUUUCCCAACUUCGGUUAUAAGAUCCCUCAAAGAUGAUGAGGUUAAUAGGUUCGAGGUGGAAGCAUGGUGACAUGUGGAGCUGACGAAUACUAAUCGAUCGAAGACUUAAUCAA
rnacentral:rRNA from 1 species